UGGCAGAUCCCUGGUGAGGGCUCCAUCAA
rnacentral:piRNA from 1 species